rnacentral:lncRNA from 1 species
AGGGCACCUCCUAGAGGCUGCGUGGAAUGCGCUUGCGGCACUCCCAGGAGCUACGUGGUGGGUCCUGCGUUCCAGCACAUUCCACACCAUCAGAUGCCGAUGGCGAGACCAGCGAAUCUACAAGAAAACAUUUCCUGGCUCCUGGUCUAGUCACGCAGUAAAGAGUAGAUUAUCUGGAGACACACUCUUGAAUAUAUUGCGGUGUGCCUGGGUCUUACUUCAAGGAACUUACAGUCUAAUCAGGAAAGAUUGGACAUGGACAUUAAUACAAUCUGAAGUAAAAAGAAAAGUGAGUAGUGCCGUAGAGUGUAUAAGUGCUUUAGGAUUUCAGUGGGGGCAUGGGGGAGGCAUCCUGGAGAAGGCAAAGUUUGAGCUCAGUUGAUGGAUGGGUGGGAUGUGACUAUGCCGAAAUGUCUGUAGAAUAUUCCUGUUCAAAUAACAGUGCUAAUAGGGGCCUGGCCCUGUAGCCAAGUGGUUAAGUUCGUGUGCUCUGCUUCGGUGGCCCAGGGUUUCGCAGUUUGAAUCCUGGGUGAGGACAUGUCACCGCUCAUCAAGCCAUGCUGAGGCGGGGUCCCACACGCCACAACUAGAAGGACCCACAACUAAGAAUACACAGCUAUGUACUGUGGGGCUUUGGGGAGAAAAAGGAAAACAAAAUAUAACAGUGCUAAGAAAGGCUUGGAGAAGGGGAGGCGCCAUGCACAUGUGAGGACCACGAGGUGGAUCAUUUGAGUUCUAUGAGAGAGUAUGAAAGAGAAGGGAAAACAUUUGGAAUGAUAGGGCUGGGGAUUUGAAUCCAGGCUGAUAGUGAUGUGUUUUAUGUGAUAGGCUUGAAGGGGGUUGAAGACAAACAUGGUUGUUACGGUGUUUUAAGGUAUAUCCACAAAUACUUUUAUAUUCCUUUCAAAAGAUGGAGUUGAUUCCUCUCUCCUUGAGUGUGGACUGGACUGGACUUGGUAAGUCACUUACAAAGAAUAGAGUAAGGUGGGAGCGAUGGUGUGUAACUUUCAAGACUAGGACAUAAAAGGCGCUGUGGAUUCCCUCUUGCUCUCUCUUGCAUCAGUUGCUCAGGGAGAGGUCAGAUGUCCUGUCAUGAGGAUAUUCAAGCAGCCCUAUGGAGAGGCCCAUGUGCCGAAAACCUGAGUCUUCCUGCUAACAGUCAGCAAGGAACUGAGGGCAUCUGACAACAGCCAUGAGAGGGAGCCAUCCUGGAUGCAGAUCGUCCAGCCCAGUUAAACCUUCAGAUGAUGGCAGCUGCAGCUGACAGCCUGACAGCAUGCACAUGAAAGACCCUGAGCCAGAACCACCCAGUUAAGCUGCUCUCGGAUUCCUGACCCUCAUAAACCCUGUGAGAUAAUGUUUGUUGUUUUAAGACACUAAGUUUUGGGGCACUUUGUUAUGCAGCAAUAGAUAAUAAAUACAGUUGUUGUCUUUAUAGUGUUGCUUUG